rnacentral:rRNA from 1 species
UGGUGGAGUGAUUUGUCUGGUUAAUUCCGUUAACGAACGAGACCUUAUCCUGCUAAAUAGUGACAGGAAAUUCUUUCCUGCUCACUUCUUAGAGGGACUUCGUGUGUUUAACACGAGGAAGCUUGAGGCAAUAACA